ACGGAGGGUGCGAGCGUUAUCCGGAAUUACUGGGUUUAAAGGGUGCGUAGGCGGCGCGGUAAGUCGGGUGUGAAAUCUCGGGGCUUAACUCCGAAACCGCAUUCGAUACUGCCGUGCUUGAGGACUGGAGAGGAGACUGGAAUUUACGGUGUAGCGGUGAAAUGCGUAGAUAUCGUAAGGAAGACCAGUGGCGAAGGCGGGUCUCUGGACAGUUCCUGACGCUGAGGCACGAAGGUCAGGGGAGCAAACGGGA
rnacentral:rRNA from 1 species